UACAGAGGUCCCAAGCGUUGUUCGGAUUCACUGGGCGUAAAGGGUGCGUAGGUGGCGAGGUAAGUUUGAUGUGAAAUCUCCGGGCUUAACCCGGAAAUGGCAUUGAAUACUCUCUCGCUAGAGGGUUGGAGGGGGGACUGGAAUUCUCGGUGUAGCAGUGAAAUGCGUAGAUAUCGAGAGGAACACCAGAGGUGAAGACGGGUUGCUGGGCCGACACUGACGCUGACAGCGCGAAAGCCAGGGGAGCAAACGGG
rnacentral:rRNA from 1 species